GGUAGAUAUGCAGGAGGGUAGGGAUGGGGUCCAGAGUGACCGAGACAAAUUGCAGGAUUGAGGCAAAAGAAAUCUGAUGAGGUUCAACAAGGACAAGUGCAGAGUCCUGCACUUAGGAUGGAAAAAUCCCAUCCCCCGCUAGAGGCUGUGGUCCGACUGGCUAAGCAUCAAUUAUGUAGAAAAGGACCUGGGGAUUACAAUUGAUGAGAAGCUGGAUAUGAGUCUGCAGUGUGCCCUUGUUGCCAAGAACCCUAAGGGC